rnacentral:rRNA from 1 species
GACGAACGCUGGCGGCGUGCUUAACACAUGCAAGUCGAGCGGUAAGGCCCUUUCGGGGGUACACGAGCGGCGAACGGGUGAGUAACACGUGGGUGACCUGCCCUUAGCUCUGGGAUAAGCCUGGGAAACUGGGUCUAAUACCGGAUAUGACUCCAUGACGCAUGUUGUGGGGUGGAAAGCCUUGUGCGGCUAGGGAUGGGCCUGCGGCCUAUCAGCUUGUUGGUGGGGUGANGGCCUACCAAGGCGACGACGGGUAGCCGGCCUGAGAGGGCGACCGGCCACACUGGGACUGAGACACGGCCCAGACUCCUACGGGAGGCAGCAGGUGGGGAAUCUUGCGCAAGUGGGCGAAAGCCUGACGCAGCGACGCCGCGGUGGGGA